rnacentral:lncRNA from 1 species
GAAAUACUAAACAGUUUUAGCAUAAACUAGCUCCCCUGUGUCAGGUUUAUCUUGGAGAGUCUGAUGCACAGAUGUUUACUGCUAGAAGUCUCCAAUUGGAUAUACAGCAAAACAUCUUUUGUGUUUCUUUUUCUGGCAUGACUUCACAAAAUAUUAAGCACUAGUAAGAAUAUUCCUUUCCAUCUUGUUGCAUGACUUGUUAGCUGAUGUAAUACGUCACGCAUAUGUGAGAAUGAUUACGUACAGGUGAGAGAAUGAUCAACAUACAAUACAAGGUGAUCCCAGAAACAACCUAAUUACUUAAGCUAUUUGACAGCUGUGAUGAACCAGCAAAUAUACAGAACAUAGUUGUGAGCCACUUUGAAGUACUUUCCGUGCUCGUACCUCUUGGAUAAUGUUUUUCAGGGAGGCCGUAACCAUAUUGAUUAUGGAGUUCCAAUCCCCGGCUCGCUGCUUUGUCUAUCCUGCAGGGCAUGGUCGCAUAGAUGAUGUAUUGGACAAUUCCUUUCAUUUGCUGAGUCAACAGGGUUUUGUACAGUUCUGACUUUACCUCUUUGUCUUAUCAUUGACCAAAUGCAGCUUCCUUUCUUAUCUUGGGAGAUAAUGCUGUUGAAUAAUCUGUGAGCUAUAUGCAAUAAAUGUUAUUACAGUAAUCAAAUAACACUGGCUAUAUGCAAUAAAUGUUAUUGUAGUAAUCAAAUGACACUUUUUUUACUAGAUGAACAUUGUAUUCUCAUUUCUGAUAAAUGGAAAUGGGAGGAGGGAUCACCUCCUCUUGAUAAAAGAAAGUAAUCUUAUAAUGCUGGCAGUAUUAUAGAUAUUACUUCAUCAAUUAAUUUUCUUUUUUGCAGUGCCAGAAAGAUUGACGUGGAAUUGUUAUAUGGCAGAUUGAUAGUUCAUGAGGUAAGCAAGGUUACUAUUGUAAGAACUGCAUGAGUCAUGAGAUGAUGAGAAUUUGAGAAGAGGUCUCCAAUGGUACCAGCAAUCGGACAGCAUCCUGAACUGAAAUAGAGCCAUCGUCAGCAUACUUGGUAAUUACGGCUUCAAUCUGUUGUGCGAGUCAUACAUUGCAACUCACAAUCUUCUAUUAAAACUUAUUAUAAGAUGUUUGGUUUUCUAUUAGACUUUCUUGUAAGCAAUCACUCCUCUCAUUAUUAAAAAAAGAGAGUUAAAACUGACCAAUUACUGCUAACGCCGCAAUUAAUUUUGAUGAACAACAUUGGUAUGUUACAUAUCAUCAUUGCUUACAGUUGUGCCCAUAAAAGUUUAUGGUACCAUUUAUCAAUUAUUUAUUGUGAUGAAAAUGUGUUGUUUGAUGAUGAACUGAAAUUUGGGAUUGGGAUUUGUUAUAUUGGAACUUCAAAGACAGAGAGAGUAUUGUAGCUGUUGAAUAAAGGAUGCUCCAACAUUAGAUACUUUGGAUUUGUGACUAGUUUUCUGCAAGUUAGUAUUUGUUCUUGUUUCCCUUCCUUUAGUAAAUCAUUCGAUUAUUCUUCUGACCAUUCUUUGUUCAAAAGGUCUUGAAUCCUUAAAUAUUUUCAAUAUGUAAUGUUUGGUAUUAUCAUGUUGGCCUUUUCUUGGUGCAGAAGAUCAGAUUAGGCUUAUAUCUUGAUAUGCUGAAAGUUUACACUUCACCCCUCAUUUAUCUGGGCAAGGAAAGGACAUCUUUUUUCUUUACUCAAUUUGAUGUAGAGAAUAUUGUUUAGCUAUAGUGCUAUACAAUUGUGAGUAUGAAAAAAGAGAGCAUACCUCACCACUGAUGUAACAAAAAUCCAGCUAAAUAAAGAUGGCACCAAUGCAAUGGAGCUUGUAACCGUUUUUCUUUCCUGUGGCUGCAUACAUCCCAAAAUCAAAUACUACAAUGGCGCACCUUCUUCUGAGCUUCUAUGUAUGGGCUGGUAUUAUGAUCUUGUUGCUAUUUCUUGAUCAAUUUCGGUCAAUCAAAUGAAGUAGUUCACAAAUUGGCCAUCUUAUUCUUUUCGUAGCGUGCAAAAAUGCAAGCUAGAUUGGUUUGAAACAGAGCAUAUAAGUGAAGGUGAAUUUUCCAACAUGACCAACAUUUUGAACUUGGAUGUAAGAAUUUCCUUUUUUUUUGUUUUGACAGUACCCCCAGCUUCAGGGCACUAAAGCAUCCCUUAGUCUAAGGGCAACUGAGAAAGAGAUGUUUAUUUGCAUGAAGGGGCAUAUGCACAGCAUUUCAAAUCAAACUUGCGGAUGCAAGCCUCUCAUCCAUCAUGGUGAAGAAUAUCUCACUUUCCAUUUUUAUAAAUUCUCUUAGCAAUUAUUUUUGUCACAUCAGUAGGUUCAUUUAACAUCCCUAAGCACAGCUGGAUUAAGUUUCAGCAACCCAGAUUCUUUUAUGCAUACCAUAUUUGGUUAGUUAAUCCAACUAAGCAAUAAUAAUUACUGAUAGCCACCACUAUCAAUAAUAAUCCAACUAAGCAAUAAUAGCCCAAGUAAGUAAUAGUAAUCCUUGAAAUCCAGUUGCCACCAGUUUGUUUAUUGAAAACACCUUAGCUAGCCACCACUAUUGACGAUGGUUCAAACAAUAAAGUGUGCACUCUUGCAACUUCAGUUCUAUGUUGCCUCUCAUGAGUAAAAGUUUGACAUGUUUCCAUUUUUAUCACACGUUUAGAUUGUGCAUCAUGACUUAUCCUGAACGUUGUUGACCUUCCCUACCACCGAUGCCAUGAAAUUUCUUGUCGCUGCAUCUAUUUAUACUUGCUUCUUAUGUUCAUUUCAGCUCUCAAAUCACCACCCUCAGAAAUACUAUUGUAUCGUGUGUAACCUAUCCUCAAGAGAUUAGAAAUAUGGAGAGUGAAAAACAUAUCAUUUGUAGACAUCCACCAACUUAUGGCAACCUCAUAACAGUUCUCUCGAUUGAUGGUGGAGGGAUUCGAGGAAUCAUUCCAGCUGUUGUUCUUACCUUUCUAGAAUCAGAGUUGCAGGUAAAUAUUUAUGUUAUACUAUGAGUUCCAUUUCGUGGCCAAGGCAACUCUAACUUGUCGAGAGAUAAGUUCCAAGGACAAGGGAAAACUGGUGCUCUAGGGUUAGGAAACGGCAUUUGUUUGGUUUGCUUGUUUUAAAUUUAAACCAUUUAGAUUCAAACUUAAUUCAGUAACCAUAUCUUUCUAUAAAUUAAGACAUCCUUUCGUUUCGAAGUAGAUCUUAAUUCUUAAAAACCUUUUGCAUUAGUGCCAGAAUGAGAUUUACUGAUCUUUUCUGCCAUAUGUUCUGUCUUUAGCCAUUUCUUUUAUGCAGAUGUAAUUGUUCAACAGUUGCUCAGGUUUUUCAGCAUUUCUUUCUGCAUCGAAUAUUCCGAAUUCAUUUUUGAUACGGCUGGAACAGCCAUAACAAUUAUUCUGCUAAUUGAGAAAAUCUGAUUGUUAUGUCCCAUCUAUAGAUGGUGAAUUGAAUGUUGUGGUACCACCAAAAAUAAACUUGGCAUGCUAAAUUAAAUUUCCCUUUUCAUUUCAAUCUCUGUUUGAUCUACAUGCUGACUCUCUCUCUGUAGUAGCAUAACCGUGUGUGUGUGCACGAAAUGAACUGUUCAGAUUAUACACAGUUCAUGUUCUUGACUGCUUCUCAUGAAAUCUUUUCUGUUUAAUUUCUCAAGAAACUUGAUGGAGAGGAAGCCCGAAUAGCCGACUAUUUUGAUGUCAUUGCUGGGACUAGCACAGGGGGGUUAGUGACUGCGAUGCUGGCUGCACCAAACAAGAAAAGAAGACCACUUUUUGCAGCCAAGGAUAUUAAAGCAUUUUAUAUGAACCAUGCUCCAAAAAUUUUUCCACAGCUAAGGUGAAUACAUGUACUGCAGUUUUUUUUUCUGAUAUGAUUCAUAACUUGGCUGGUUGACAUUUUGCUUCUCUCUUUAGGGGUCCAUUCGGUAGGAUGAUGAGGAUAUUUCGAUCAAUGUCAGGACCUUCCUAUGAUGGCAAGCACCUUCAUGAAGUUGUAAGAGAGAAAUUAGGAAGCACCAGGCUGCAUCAGACUUUAACAAAUGUGGUCAUACCAACUUUCGACAUCAAGUGGUUACAACCAACCAUUUUCUCUUCCUACGAGGUAUCCCUCUUUCCCUUCAUCCUUCUCCCUUUAAAGUCUCUCAAGAGUAUUUUGUGUGUUGUUUUGGACACAAGUGUCUACAAUUCGUAAUAAAAUUCAAUCAAUUCAAUUUUAAGGGCACAAGAACAUGUAUUAUACACAAGUACUUAUUUCUCUAUUUUGCUAUGAAAAUAAUUCAUAGGAAUUAUUUAUGAGCCAGUAAUAAGAACUCCCAUCAAUACAACAAUGAUGGAGACUACACAACAUGAACCUUAUGCUCUCAUAUCAUAGGUUAAGAAGAAGAACAACAACACUAUGGAUGCUCUGCUAUCAGAUAUUUGCAUCAGCACGAGCGCUGCUCCGACUUACCUGCCUGCGCACUUCUUCAGGACUGAAGAUUGUCAUGGAAACAUCAAGGAAUUCAAUCUUAUUGAUGGUGGAGUAGCUGCCAAUAAUCCGGUACGAUGUCUCUGUAGUUGUGAACAACUCAUUACCAUUGAAGUGCACUCUGUGAUGUUGAAAAUGGUUUGGCAAGUUUACCCAGUUCAUAUAUUGAAGCGAUGUUUUUUCCCCAAAAGGCCCUGAAUAUGUCUAUCUUGUUUAGGCUUUAGUUGCCAUUGGAGAAGUAAGCAAGCAGAU